rnacentral:rRNA from 1 species
UACGAAGGGGGCUAGCGUUGCUCGGAAUCACUGGGCGUAAAGGGUGCGUAGGCGGGGCUUUAAGUCAGGGGUGAAAUCCUGGAGCUCAACUCCAGAACUGCCUUUGAUACUGAAGAUCUUGAGUUCGGGAGAGGUGAGUGGAACUGCGAGUAUAGAGGUGAAAUUCGUAGAUAUUCGCAAGAACACCAGUGGCGAAGGCGGCUCACUGGCCCGAUACUGACGCUGAUGCACGAAAGCGUGGGGAGCAAACAGG